rnacentral:rRNA from 1 species
UACGUAGGGGGCAAGCGUUGUUCGGAUUCAUUGGGCGUAAAGGGUGCGUAGGCGGCGCGGUAAGUCGGGUGUGAAAUCUUGGAGCUUAACUCCGAAACUGCAUUCGAUACUGCCGUGCUUGAGGACUGGAGAGGAGACUGGAAUUUACGGUGUAGCGGUGAAAUGUGUAGAGAUCGGGAGGAACACCGGUGGCGAAGGCGGGUCUCUGGGCAUUUCCUGACGCUGAGGCACGAAGGCCAGGGGAGCAAACGGG